GUGGGGAAUUUUGGACAAUGGGCGCAAGCCUGAUCCAGCAAUGCCGCGUGCAGGAAGAAGGCCUUCGGGUUGUAAACUGCUUUUGUACGGAACGAAACGGUCCUGGUUAAUACCUGGGGCUAAUGACGGUACCGUAAGAAUAAGCACCGGCUAACUACGUGCCAGCAGCCGCGGUAAUACGUAGGGUGCAAGCGUUAAUCGGAAUUACUGGGCGUAAAGCGUGCGCAGGCGGUUUUGUAAGACAGGCGUGAAAGCCCCGGGCUCAACCUGGGAAUUGCGCUUGUGACUGCAAGGCUGGAGUGCGGCAGAGGGGGAUGGAAUUCCGCGUGUAGCAGUGAAAUGCGUAGAUAUGCGGAGGAACACCGAUGGCGAAGGCAAUCCCCUGGGCCUGCACUGACGCUCAUGCACGAAAGCGUGGGGAGCAAACAGGAUUAGAUACCCCAGUAGUCC
rnacentral:rRNA from 1 species